GCACUAACUUUAGCAGCACAUAUACUAAAAUUGGAAUGAUGCAAAGAAGAUUAGCAUGGCCCCUGAGCAAGGAGUACUUGCAGAUUUGUGAAGUAUUCUAUAUCUUU